rnacentral:rRNA from 1 species
GAUGAACGCUGGCGGCGUGCCUAAUACAUGCAAGUCGAGCGAACGGACGAGAAGCUUGCUUCUCUGGUGUUAGCGGCGGACGGGUGAGUAACACGUGGAUAACCUACCUAUAAGACUGGGAUAACUUCGGGAAACCGGAGCUAAUACCGGAUAAUAUUUUGAACCGCAUGGUUCAAAAGUGAAAGACGGUCUUGCUGUCACUUAUAGAUGGAUCCGCGCUGCAUUAGCUAGUUGGUAAGGUAACGGCUUACCAAGGCAACGAUGCAUAGCCGACCUGAGAGGGUGAUCGGCCACACUGGAACUGAGACACGGUCCAGACUCCUACGGGAGGCAGCAGUAGGGAAUCUUCCGCAAUGGGCGAAAGCCUGACGGAGCAACGCCGCGUGAGUGAUGAAGGUCUUCGGAUCGUAAAACUCUGUUAUUAGGGAAGAACAUAUGUGUAAGUAACUGUGCACAUCUUGACGGUACCCAAUCAGAAAGCCACGGCUAACUACGUG